rnacentral:rRNA from 1 species
AGGAUGAACGCUGGCGGCGUGCCUAAUACAUGCAAGUCGAGCGGUAAGGCCACUUCGGUGGUACACGAGCGGCGGACGGCUGAGUAACACGUAGGAACGUACCCCAAAGUGAGGCAUAAGCACCAGAAAUGGUGUCUAAUACCGCAUGUGAUCUUCGGAUUAAAGCUUCGGCGCUUUGGGAACGGCCUGCGCAUGAUUAGCUUGUUGGUGAGGUAAUAGCUCACCAAGGCGACGAUCAUUAGCUGGUCUGAGAGGAUGACCAGCCAGACUGGGACUGAGAACGGCCCAGACUCCUACGGGAGGCAGCAGUAGGGAAUUUUCCGCAAUGGAGGCAACUCUGACGGAGCAACGCCGCGUGCAGGAGGAAGGUUUUCGGAUCGUAAACUGCUUUUCUCGGGGACGAGCAAGGACGGUACCCGAGGAAGAAGCCCGGCUAACUACGUGCCAGCAGCCGC